AUCGGGUGAGCGAAAGAACACCCUGGGACCACCAACUUCGCUUGGUUGCCAUGGGAACAUUCGCCGGAACAACAGCAGCCACCUGGGAGACGGGCUCAAAUUGAUGCAAUCCAGGCAGCAGUUGGGAUUCCACCCGUAAAGACAACAAAAUACAAGAAGUGCUGAUCGUCGUCCUGUUGAUGUUUACUGUGACAACUACAUUGUAAAGAAUAUUUGCGGAUGUUAGAAGGUUGUUCCCCCCCCACAUUGUGAAUGAAUGCCAUGUAUAUAUGUACAGAUGUACAGUUUUGUUUGUUUUUUUUUGUUUUACAUCAAUUUUGGAAUUUUUAUUUGUGAACUGCACUGGAGCUUGUGUUUCUCCUCCCAUUGGUCUGUGACGAUGCGUCCACUGUCAUGAGCUACCCAACAUGU